rnacentral:rRNA from 1 species
UUAAGUUAAUAAGGGCGCACGGUGGAUGCCUUGGCACUAGAAGCCGAUGAAGGACGUGACUAACGACGAAAUGCUUUGGGGAGCUGUAAGUGAGCAAUGAUCCAGAGAUGUCCGAAUGGGGGAACCCGGCAGGUAAUGCCUGUCACUCAUUACUGUUAAGGUAAUGUAGAGGAAGACGCAGUGAACUGAAACAUCUAAGUAGCUGCAGGAAGAGAAAGCAAAAGCGAUUGCCUUAGUAGCGGCGAGCGAAACGGCAAGAGGGCAAACCGAAGAGUUUACUCUUCGGGGUUGUAGGACUGCAACGUGGACUUAAAGAUUAUAGAAGAACUACCUGGGAAGGUAGGCCAAAGAGAGUAAUAGCCUCGUAUUCGAAAUAGUCUUUAUACCUAGCAGUAUCCUGAGUACGGCGAGACACGAGAAAUCUCGUCGGAAUCUGGGAGGACCAUCUCCCAACCCUAAAUACUCUCUAGUGACCGAUAGUGAACCAGUACCGUGAGGGAAAGGUGAAAAGCACCCCGGGAGGGGAGUGAAAUAGAACCUGAAACCGUGUGCCUACAACAAGUUCGAGCCCGUUAAUGGGUGAGAGCGUGCCUUUUGUAGAAUGAACCGGCGAGUUACGAUAUGAUGCGAGGUUAAGUUGAAGAGACGGAGCCGUAGGGAAACCGAGUCUUAAUAGGGCGCAUUAGUAUCAUGUCGUAGACCCGAAACCAUGUGACCUACCCAUGAGCAGGUUGAAGGUGAGGUAAAACUCACUGGAGGACCGAACCAGGGCACGUUGAAAAGUGCUUGGAUGACUUGUGGGUAGCGGAGAAAUUCCAAACGAACUUGGAGAUAGCUGGUUCUCUCCGAAAUAGCUUUAGGGCUAGCGUCGAUGUUAAGUCUCUUGGAGGUAGAGCACUGUUUGGGUGAGGGGUCCAUCCCGGAUUACCAAUCUCAGAUAAACUCCGAAUGCCAACGAGAUAUAAUCGGCAGUCAGACUGCGAGUGCUAAGAUCCGUAGUCGAAAGGGAAACAGCCCAGACCACCAGCUAAGGUCCCAAAAUAUAUGUUAAGUGGAAAAGGAUGUGGGGUUGCAUAAACAACCAGGAUGUUGGCUUAGAAGCAGCUAUUCAUUCAAAGAGUGCGUAAUAGCUCACUAGUCGAGGGACCUUUCGCCGAAAAUGUACCGGGGCUAAAACAUAUUACCGAAGCUGUGGAUACCUUUAUAGGUAUGGUAGGAGAGCGUUCUAUGUGCGAAGAAGGUGUACCGUGAGGAGUGCUGGAGCGCAUAGAAGUGAGAAUGCCGGUAUGAGUAGCGAAAGACAGGUGAGAAUCCUGUCCACCGUAAGACUAAGGUUUCCAGGGGAAGGCUCGUCCGCCCUGGGUUAGUCGGGACCUAAGGAGAGACCGAAAGGUGUAUCCGAUGGACAACAGGUUGAUAUUCCUGUACUAGAGUAUAUAGUGAUGGAGGGACGCAGUAGGCUAACUAAACCAGACGAUUGGAAGUGUCUGGCCAAGCAGUGAGGUGUGAUAUGAGUCAAAUGCUUAUAUCUAUAACAUUGAGCUGUGAUGGGGAGCGAAGUUUAGUAGCGAAGUUAGUGAUGUCACACUGCCGAGAAAAGCUUCUAGCGUUAAUUAUACUCUACCCGUACCGCAAACCGACACAGGUAGUCGAGGCGAGUAGCCUCAGGUGAGCGAGAGAACUCUCGUUAAGGAACUCGGCAAAAUGGCCCCGUAACUUCGGGAGAAGGGGCGCUGACUUAUGGUCAGCCGCAGUGAAUAGGCCCAAGCAACUGUUUAUCAAAAACACAGCUCUCUGCUAAAUCGUAAGAUGAUGUAUAGGGGGUGACGCCUGCCCGGUGCUGGAAGGUUAAGAGGAGUGCUUAGCAAUAGCGAAGGUAUGAAUUGAAGCCCCAGUAAACGGCGGCCGUAACUAUAACGGUCCUAAGGUAGCGAAAUUCCUUGUCGGGUAAGUUCC